rnacentral:rRNA from 1 species
GAUGAACGCUGGCGGCGUGCCUAAUACAUGCAAGUAGAACGCUGAAGCUUGGUGCUUGCACCGAGCGGAUGAGUUGCGAACGGGUGAGUAACGCGUAGGUAACCUGCCUGGUAGCGGGGGAUAACUAUUGGAAACGAUAGCUAAUACCGCAUAACAGUCGACAUUGCAUGAUGUUGAUUUGAAAGGGGCAAUUGCUCCACUACCAGAUGGACCUGCGUUGUAUUAGCUAGUUGGUGAGGUAACGGCUCACCAAGGCGACGAUACAUAGCCGACCUGAGAGGGUGAUCGGCCACACUGGGACUGAGACACGGCCCAGACUCCUACGGGAGGCAGCAGUAGGGAAUCUUCGGCAAUGGACGGAAGUCUGACCGAGCAACGCCGCGUGAGUGAAGAAGGUUUUCGGAUCGUAAAGCUCUGUUGUAAGAGAAGAACGAGUGUGAGAGUGGAAAGUUCACACUGUGACGGUAACUUACCAGAAAGGGACGGCUAACUACGUGCCAGCAGCCGCGGUAAUACGUAGGUCCCGAGCGUUAUCCGGAUUUAUUGGGCGUAAAGCGAGCGCAGGCGGUUAGAUAAGUCUGAAGUUAAAGGCUGUGGCUUAACCAUAGUACGCUUUGGAAACUGUUUAACUUGAGUGCAGAAGGGGAGAGUGGAAUUCCAUGUGUAGCGGUGAAAUGCGUAGAUAUAUGGAGGAACACCGGUGGCGAAAGCGGCUCUCUGGUCUGUAACUGACGCUGAGGCUCGAAAGCGUGGGGAGCAAACAGG